UCUGAACGUUCAUACUCUGAUGUGUCAUCAGCUUAGGUCCUUGUCAUGUCCUGAUCUGUGUAGGUGAAACAGGAGGAAGAGGAGGAGGAGGUGAUCUGUAUUAAGGAGGAGCCGGAGGAGCAGGAGCAGGAAGUGAUGGCCACCCUGCUGCUGGAUUGUCAGGUGCAGCAGGAUGACCUGCCAGACUCAGAGUCUCAGAGGUCGAUGACAGAGUGGUCAAGACUUCCAGCAGGUCAGAGCAGUCUCACUGCAGCGUUCAGCUCAGCCGGACCCAGCACAGGGUCACCGCUGUGCUCGGAUUCGCCGCCUCAGUUGGUGGACCCCCUGCCUCCCAGCACCCCUCCUCGGCAGUCAGUGCGACCCUGGAACAAAGACCUCAGCCUGUACGAAGAGUACAAACUGCGCAGGAAUGAGCGGCGGCGGCGAAACAUCAACAGACGCAGAGAGCUGGAGAAGAUGCUGCCUCAGCCUCUGCUGGCGGAUAUAGUGAGGGAGCGGCGAGAGAAGACCAGACUGAGGGUGGCCAGGUGGAGGGCCAAGAGGAAGCUACAGGCCUGUCUGAACCAGGCUCAGGCUCUUGGUGGCGCUGCAGUCGUCUCUCAGGCUUCGUUUCCUGCGGUCAGUCAGCAUCAGCAGCUCAGAGCAGCCUGUGCUCCCACCUCCAGCUCUCAGCAGACGCACAGCUCAGCAACACCUCAGUCCUUCAACAACAUGACAGUCACUCUUCCCUUCAUACCUUUCUCCUCCUCCUCUCAGCACCACCGAGGCGCCACCAGACCUCCACAUGAGCACGUGACCUCGUCCUCCUCGUACCCGGCCGCCAGCCUGGCACAGCAGAGCAUCUCCUUAACAGACUCUGAUAUCUUACAGUGAGUCCACAAGUGUAGCUCCAGGACUGUAUAUAAAUGACACACAGAAUGGGGUCAGAGGCCCGGUGGAUCGGACCCGUCAGUGCCCUCUGAUAGAAAGCACCACAGGGACAGAGGAUCCUUCAUGUCCUCACUGCCCGCUGCAUGUUUAAAUGUGUUAACAGUAUUUAUCAGUGAUUGUCUUUAUGUGGUCACAGUGGACCUUGGUCCUGCUGGUGUAGUGGUCUUUGAGCAGCGGGGGGAAGGGGGGGGGGUUAGCGUCCGUUGACGAUCUUCUGGGAGAUGGCGCCGGGCAGCGUGUAGAACAACAGGGCCAGGAACAGCAUGGUGAUGAGCAGGACCAGCGCGAUGAUGAUGUACUUCUUGUAGCUUCGCCACACCAGGUGAAAGAAACACUUGAAGGGGUUAACGAACCAGGAGAAGGAGGUGUCAGGACGGCUGUGGGGGGAGGAGGGGGAGGAGGGGAGGGCAGAGCAGGUCAGGAUGAAUCUGUAGUAAGUUAU
ensembl:lncRNA